AUUGAACGCUGGCGGCAGGCCUAACACAUGCAAGUCGAGCGGAUGACGGGAGCUUGCUCCUUGAUUCAGCGGCGGACGGGUGAGUAAUGCCUAGGAAUCUGCCUGGUAGUGGGGGACAACGUUUCGAAAGGAACGCUAAUACCGCAUACGUCCUACGGGAGAAAGCAGGGGACCUUCGGGCCUUGCGCUAUCAGAUGAGCCUAGGUCGGAUUAGCUAGUAGGUGAGGUAAUGGCUCACCCAGGCGACGAUCCGUAACUGGUCUGAGAGGAUGAUCAGUCACACUGGAACUGAGACACGGUCCAGACUCCUACGGGAGGCAGCAGUGGGGAGUAUUGGACAAUGGGCGAAAGCCUGAUCCAGCCAUGCCGCGUGUGUGAAGAAGGUCUUCGGAUUGUAAAGCACUUUAAGUUGGGAGGAAGGGCAGUAAGUUAAUACCUUGCUGUUUUGACGUUACCGACAGAAUAAGCACCGGCUAACUCUGUGCCAGCCGCCGCAGUAAGAC
rnacentral:rRNA from 1 species